AAUAAGAUUAUUUUUCAGUUUUUUAAUACAAUGUUUUGAUUCUUUGUCUUAUUUGAAUUUUUUUGUGAUUAAUAUUUUUAUUCUUACUAGAUGAUAAAAUAUAAAUAACACUUUAUGCGUGACUAAUUUUUUUAAGUUUUUAUAUAAAAUUUUCAAAUAAGACAUGAUAAAACAUUGGAUACGGAAAAACAAAAAUAAGGUUAUU
rnacentral:pre_miRNA from 1 species